GCUCGUAGUUGAACCUUGGGCCUGGCUGGCCGGUCCGCCUCACCGCGUGCACUGGUCCGGCCGGGUCUUUCCUUCUGGGGAGCCGCAUGCCCUUCACUGGGUGUGCCGGGGAACCAGGACUUUUACUUUGAAAAAAUUAGAGUGUUCAAAGCAGGCCUAUGCUCGAAUNCAUUAGCAUGGAAUAAUAAAACAGGACGAGCAGUUCUAUUUGGUNGGUUUCUAGGACCGCCGUAAUGAUUAAUAGGGAUAGUCGGGGGCAUCAGUAUUCAAUUGUCAGAGGUGAAAUUCUUGGAUUUAUUGAAGACUAACUACUGCGAAAGCAUUUGCCAAGGAUGUUUUCAUUAAUCAGUGAACGAAAGUUAGGGGAUCGAAGACGAUCAGAUCCGUCGUAGUCUUAACCAUAAACUAUGCCGACUAGGGAUCGGGCGAUGUUAUUUUUUUGACUCGCUCGGCACCUUCGAGAAAUCAAAGUCUUNGGGNNCUGGGGGGAGUAUGGACGCAAGGCUGAAACUUAAAGGAAUUGACGGAAGGGCACCACCAGGAGUUGCCAAGUAGCAUAUAGCUUCGGCUAGGCUUNUGCUCCAGAAAGUAGCCCGUCAAGGGUUGGUGGGUUGUCUCGAAACGCUAGUUGGUUUAUACCAGCAACAUCCUCAGAUUGCGGGAAACUCCUUAAGCUCUAAGCUACCAAACCGAUACACGAAAGUGAUCGGUGGCCAGGUUAAUUACCGCGGGUAUGGUUAUAAUGCUUAGAGAUUGGACAAUCCGCAGCCAAGCUUCUACGGGUUUUAUCACCUACGGGGCAGGUUCAGAGACUUGACGGGGAUGGGUUAUAAAACUUAAGAUAAAGUCCGUCUAGGAAGUAACAUUCUAUAGAACCCUUAAAAUGGGAGCCUGCGGCUUAAUUUGACUCAACACGGGGAAACUCACCAGGUCCAGACACAAAUAGGAUUGACAGAUUGAGAGCUCUUUCUUGAUCUUGUGGGUGGNGGNGCAUGGCCGUUCUUAGUUGGUGGAGUGAUUUGUCUGCUUAAUUGCGAUAACGAACGAGACCUUAACCUGCUAAAUAGCCAGGCUAGCUUAGGCUGGNCGCCGGCUUCUUAGAGGGACUAUCGGCUCAAGCCGAUGGAAGUUUGAGGCAAUAACAGGUCUGUGAUGCCCUUAGAUGUUCUGGGCCGCACGUAAAGUAACGCCUGGUCUUUCCCCCCUUGNCCCGGNCUGGGUCUGUAGUGCAGAAGCCAACCUUGAUGGCACCUCCCUAUCUCUACCUGAUUGUAUAGGCAUUUGCUAACAUGUUUCAAUAGGCGCGCUACACUGACAGAGCCAACGAGUUCAUCACCUUGGCCGAAAGGUCUGGGUAAUCUUGUUAAACUCUGUCGUGCUGGGGAUAGAGCAUUGCAAUUAUUGCUCUUCAACGAGGAAUUCCUAGUAAGCGCAAGUCAUCAGCUUGCGCUGAUUACGUCCCUGCCCUUUGUACACACCGCCCGUCGCUACUACCGAUUGAAUGGCUCAGUGAGGCUUUCGGACUGGCCCAGGGAGGGUGGCAACACCCACCCAGGGCCGGAAAGUUGUUCAAACUUGGUCAUUUAGAGGAAGUAAAAGUCGUAACAAGGUCUCCGUAGGAGUAAGG
rnacentral:rRNA from 1 species